AUGAACCUUCUGGGAACGCGAUUCCCACUGGGAUCCAACACCGGCGAAGGAAUUUGGGAUCGUUUUGGAUUAAAAUUCUUGGAGUCUUCUUCUGGACGCCGUGAUUCCAAGUUGGAUCAACAAUUGUUGAUGAAGUUUGGGAUCAUCCUUGGGUUGAGAUCUCCAAAAUCCAGGAUGAUCCUCCUGGACCUCACAAUUCCAGCUGGGACCCAACACCGAGAUGGCGCCGAAGUUGAAGAAAAAAGGGCACUCGGGGCGGGAGCAGAAAAAGCACCACCACCACCACCACCAGCCGCCGCCGCAGCCGCCGCCGGCGCCGCCGCAGCCCGCGCCGCCGGCGCUGCAGCCGCCGCAGCCGCCGCCCGUCCCGCAGCCCGCGGCGCCGCUGAAGGCGUCGCCGCCGCCGCCCUUCGUCGCCGCGCCGGUGCCCGUCCUGGAGCACCCCUUGCCGGGGACCAUGUUCGACACCAUGGCCCACUUCGGCCAACCCAUCCUGCACCUGCCCCAGGCCGAGCUGCCCCCGCCCCACCUGCCCCCGGCGCCCGAGCACAGCCCCUCGCCCCACCUCAACCAGCACGUGGUGUCUCCUCCAGCUUUGCACAACGCUCUGCCUCAGCAGCCCUCGAGGCCCAGCAACCGCGCGGCGGCGCUGCCCCCGAAGCCGCCGCGGCCGCCGGCCCCGUCGCCGGCGCUGCC
rnacentral:lncRNA from 1 species